GGUGAGUAACAGCAGUGGGAACGUACCCUUCACUACGGAAUAGCUUCUGGAAACGGAAGGUAAUACCGUAUACGCCCUCCGGGGGAAAGAUUUAUCGGUGAAGGAUCGGCCCGCGUUAGAUUAGUUUGUUGGUGGGGUAAUGGCCUACCAAGACUACGAUCUAUAGCUGGUCUGAGAGGAUGAUCAGCCACACUGGGACUGAGACACGGCCCAGACUCCUACGGGAGGCAGCAGUGGGGAAUCUUGCACAAUGGGCGAAAGCCUGAUGCAGCCAUGCCGCGUGAAUGAUGAAGGCCUUAGGGUUGUAAAAUUCUUUCGCCAGGGAUGAUAAUGACAGUACCUGGUAAAGAAGCCCCGGCUAACUUCGUGCCAGCAGCCGCGGUAAUACGAAGGGGGCUAGCGUUGUUCGGAAUUACUGGGCGUAAAGCGCGCGUAGGCGGGCUAUUAAGCCAGAUGUGAAAGCCCGGGGCUCAACCUCGGAAUUGCAUUUGGAACUGGUAGCCUAGAGACCAGGAGAGGUUAGCGGAAUACCGAGUGUAGAGGUGAAAUUCGUAGAUAUUCGGUGGAACACCAGUGGCGAAGGCGGCUAACUGGACUGGUACUGACGCUGAGGCGCGAAAGUGUGGGGAGCAAACAGGAUUAGAUACCCUGGUAGUCCACACCGUAAAC
rnacentral:rRNA from 1 species